GAUGAACGCUGACAGAAUGCUUAACACAUGCAAGUCAACUGUGGCUGACGGGUGAGUAACACGUAAAGAACUUGCCUCGCAGCUAGGACCAACAUUUGGAAACGAAUGCUAAUAGCUGAUACUGUGACAGAGCUUUGCGUCCCAUGAGCUAGUGGGAGAGGUAACGGCGCACAAAGGCGAUGAUGGGUAGCCGGCCUGAGAGGGUGAUCGGCCCCAAGGGCACUGAGACAGCGCCAGUACUCAUACGGGAGGAAGGAGUGGGGAAUAUUGGAAAAUGGACCAAAGUGUGAACAAGGAAUUCUGUGUGUACGAUGAAGUUUUAGGAAUGUAAAGGGCUGUUAGUUAGUGAGCGGUAUCAACAGAAGAAGUGACGGCUAAAUACGUGCCAGCAGCCGCGGUAAUUC
rnacentral:rRNA from 1 species